rnacentral:rRNA from 1 species
GCGGUGGAGCAUGUGGUUUAAUUCCGAUNCANCCCCGAAGAACCUUACCCAUCCCCUUGACAUCCAGAGAACUUUCUAGAGAUAGAUUGGUGCCNUCGGGAACUCUGAGACAGGUGCUGCAUGGCUGUCCGUCAGCUCCGUGUUGUGAAAUGUUGGGUUAAAGUCCCCGCAACGAGCGCAACCCCUAUCCUUAUUUGCCAGCGAGUAAUGUCGGGAACUUUAAGGAGACUGCCGGUGAUAAACCGGAGGAAGGUGGGGACGACGUCAAGUCAUCAUGGNCCUUACGGGAUGGGCUACACACGUGCUACAAUGGCAGAUACAGAGGGCAGCGAGACCGCGAGGUGGAGCGAAUCCCACAAAGUCUGUCGUAGUCCGGAUUGGAGUCUGCAACUCGACUCCAUGAAGUCGGAAUCGCUAGUAAUCGUGGAUCAGAAUGCCACGGUGAAUACGUUCCCCGGGCCUUGUACACACCGCCCGUCACACCAUGGGAGUGGGUUGCAAAA